rnacentral:rRNA from 1 species
UAUUUCCUACGGGGGGCAGCAGUGGGGGAUAUUGCACAAUGGGGGAAACCCUGCUGCAGCGACGCCGCGUGAGUGAAGAAGUAUUUCGGUAUGUAAAGCUCUAUCAGCAGGGAAGAAAAAAGACGGUACCUGACUAAGAAGCCCCGGCUAACUACGAGCCAGCAGCCGCGGUAAUACGUAGGGGGCAAGCGUUAUCCGGAUUUACUGGGUGUAAAGGGAGUGUAGACGGCAAUACAAGUCGGAAGUGAAAUACCCGGGCUCAACCUGGGAACUGAGUUGGAACCUGUAUGGCCG